AGGGGUAUUGCUCAGUAGUAGAGCACAUGCUUGGCAAGCCUGAGGUCUUUGGUUCAAUCCCCAUUGCCUUGG
rnacentral:tRNA from 1 species